UACGGAGGGUGCAAGCGUUAGUCGGAAUUACUGGGCGUAAAGGGUGCGUAGGCGGGGAUAUAAGUCAGAUGUGAAAAACCAAGGCUCAACCUUGGCAGUGCAUCUGAAACUGUAUUUCUAGAGGGAUAGCGGAGAAAACGGAAUUCCACGUGUAGCGGUGAAAUGCGUAGAUAUGUGGAAGAACACCUGUGGCGGAAGCGGUUUUCUAGCUUAAACCUGACGCUGAGGCACGAAAGCAAGGGGAGCAAACAGG
rnacentral:rRNA from 1 species